rnacentral:rRNA from 1 species
GACGAACGCUGGCGGCGUGCCUAAAACAUGCAAGUCGAACGCGAUGGCCCUUCGGGGCCUGGGAGUGGCGAACGGCGGAGUAAUACGUAAGCAACGUGCCCUGAAGUUCGGGAUAUACCGGGGAAACCCGGGGCAAUACCGGAUGUGAUCGGGACUCGGCAUCGAGGUCCGAUUAAAUGGUUUUUCGCUUUAGGAGCGGCUUACGGCCUAUCAGCUAGUUGGUGGGGUAACGGCCUACCAAGGCUUCGACGGGUAACUGGUCUGAGAGGACGACCAGUCCGAGUGGGACUGAGACACGGCCCACACACCUACGGGUGGCAGCAGUUGGGAAUCUUGCACAAUGGGGGCAACCCUGAUGCAGCGACGCCGCGUGGAGGACGAAGGAUCUAGGUCUGUAAACUCCUUUUGCCAGGAAAGACUUAGGACGGUACCUGGCGAAUAAGCUCCGGCUAACUACGUGCCAGCAGCCGCGGUAAUACGUAGGGAGCAAGCGUUGUCCGGAUUUACUGGGCGUAAAGGGCGCGUAGGCGGUCUGUUU